UAAUGUGGUAUGUACCCAUGAAGCAGGGAA
rnacentral:piRNA from 1 species